UUGUUGACCGGGGCCUCGGGUUCUAUCUAUCUAUCUAUCUAUCUAUCCAUCUAUCUUUCUAUUUUACAUAUCUAUCUAGCUACCUAUACCUUCCCCAUUCGGCAUGCAGGAGUACCUCUCAUGCUCCGUCUCCCAACUUUUUUUUCUUUUUUCUUUGUUCUUUGUUCUUUUUCUUUCUUUUCUUUUCUUUUUUUGUUUUUUUGG
rnacentral:sRNA from 1 species